GAUGAAGAACGUAGCGAAAUGCGAUACUUGGUGUGAAUUGCAGAAUCCCGUGAACCAUCGAGUCUUUGAACGCAAGUUGCGCCCGAAGCCAUUAGGCCGAGGGCACGCCUGCCUGGGCGUCACACGUCGUUGCCCCCCCAUCUACUCCUUCGGGAUUGCGGGGGGCGGAUGAUGGCCUCUCGUGCGCCUCGUCGCGCUGUUGGCCUAAAUGCCAAGUCCUCGGCGACGCACGCCACGACAAUCGGUGGUUGCGAAACCUCGGUUGCCUGUCGUGUGCGGUCGUCGCGCAUCGAGGGCUCGAAAAAAUUGCCGGGCUUCGGCUCGACUUUCAACGCGACCCCAGGUCAGGCGGGGUUACCCGCUGAAUUUAAGCAUAUCAAUAAGCGGAGGA
rnacentral:misc_RNA from 1 species